UACGAGGGGGGCAAGCGUUGUUCGGAAUUAUUGGGCGUAAAGGGCGCGUAGGCGGUGCGGUAAGACUGUGGUGAAAUCUUCGGGCUCAACUCGAAGCCUGCCGCGGUGACUGCACGGCUAGAGUGUGUCAGAGGGGGUAGAAUUCCACGUGUAGCAGUGAAAUGCGUAGAUAUGUGGACGGAAUACCGAUGGCGAAGGCAGCCCCCUGGGAUAACACUGACGCUCAUGCAACGAAAGCCGUGGGGAGCAAACACGG
rnacentral:rRNA from 1 species